rnacentral:rRNA from 1 species
CGUGUGGGAACGUGCCCUGAGGUACGGAACAACAGCUGGAAACGGCUGCUAAUACCGUAUGAUGUCUUCGGACCAAAGAUUUAUCGCCUCAGGAUCGGCCCGCAUUGGAUUAGGUAGUUGGUGGGGUAAUGGCCUACCAAGCCUACGAUCCAUACCUGGUUUGAGAGGAUGAUCAGGCACACUGGGACUGAGACACGGCCCAGACUCCUACGGGAGGCAGCAGUGGGGAACCAUAGACAAUGGGGGCAACCCUGAUCUUGCCAUGCCGCGUGGACGAUGAAGGCCCUAGGGUUGUAAAGU